rnacentral:rRNA from 1 species
UACGUAGGGUGCAAGCGUUGUCCGGAAUCAUUGGGCGUAAAGAGCGUGUAGGCGGCCAGAUAAGUCCGCUGUGAAAUCUCGAGGCUCAACUUCGAGCUGUCGGUGGAAACUGUCUGGCUAGAGUCCGGAAGAGGAGAAUGGAAUUCCUGGUGUAGCGGUGAAAUGCGCAGAUAUCAGGAAGAACACCCGUGGCGAAGGCGGUUCUCUGGGCCUGUGCUGACGCUGAGGAGCGAAAGCGUGGGGAGCGAACAGG